rnacentral:rRNA from 1 species
AUUGAACGCUGGCGGCAUGCCUUACACAUGCAAGUCGAACGGUAGCGGGCCUUCGGGUGCCGACGGGUGGCGAACGGGUGAGUAAUGUAUCGGAACGUACCUUUCAGUGGGGGAUAACGUAGCGAAAGUUGCGCUAAUACCGCAUAUUCUGUGAGCAGGAAAGCAGGGGAUCGCAAGACCUUGCGCUGAUUGAGCGGCCGAUAUCAGAUUAGCUAGUUGGUGAGGUAAAGGCUCACCAAGGCGACGAUCUGUAGCGGGUCUGAGAGGAUGAUCCGCCACACUGGAACUGAGACGCGGUCCAGACUCCUACGGGAGGCAGCAGUGGAGAAUUUUGGACAAUGGGGGGCAACCCUGAUCCAGCCAUGCCGCGUGAGUGAAGAAGGCCUUCAGGUUGUAAAGCUCUUUCGGCCGGGAAGAAAUCGUAUCAGCUAAUACCUGGUGCGGAUGACGGUACCGGCAUAAGAAGCACCGGCUAACUACGUGCCAGCCGCCGCGGUAAGAC